rnacentral:rRNA from 1 species
UACGUAGGGGGCUAGCGUUGUCCGGAAUCAUUGGGCGUAAAGGGCGCGUAGGCGGCCGAUCAAGUCGGAGGUGAAAUCCCUCGGCUCAACUGAGGAAUUGCCUUCGAUACUGUUCGGCUUGAGUCCUGGAGAGGGUAGCGGAAUUCCCGGUGUAGCGGUGAAAUGCGCAGAUAUCAGGAAGAACACCCGUGGCUAAGGCGGCUCUCUAGUACGGUACUGACGCUGAGACGCGAAAGCGUGGGGAGCGAACAGG